CAGGCCUGGGGAGGAUGUGGCGGGGCAGAGGGGUAGUGGGGAGGGAGCGUGGGUGGCAGGCGGGUGGGAGACCGCUCCGUUCCUUUGAGGUGGCAUUUUAGACAGCCCCGUUAUUGUGGCUCCUCUCCAGGGUUUGCUUUUCCCAUCCCCUCUGAGGGAGCAAGGGUUAGCACAGAGGGUGGAAGCUGGAAGCCUUUGGCGUGCCUGCGUGACCUGGCCGCCGGCACCUGCCUCCUUCACCCUCCCCGGCCCGGCACCCUCCACGCACGGGGCUGCCUCCUCUCUCGGGCAGAAAGGCGGCGUGAGGUGGGUGCCAUUGCGACCUUGCUCUCUUUUUUUUUUGAUGCACGGUGUCAUGAUCCGGCUAGGAUUUUUGUGGGGAGGAGGAAAGGAUGCUCCGGCCCUUCACAAAAUCCCUUGGCACGAGCUGCUGCUGGAGGGAAGCUGCCCUCCAACUGGGAGAGAUUUUUCUACACGGGAGGUUAUUUGAGAUAAUGUGAGCGAGCGGGGGUGGUCAGAGCAGUCUUCCCAUUUAGCUGCUGCCUAACCCUAAUUUCGAGGUUGUCCGAGGAGGGCUGAAGAAACGGGGAACUGGUGCAUAAACUGAGGCCAAAGCACACUGGAACUGAAAAGGCUGUGCCGUAAUGAGGAAAGACGUCAUCUACAUGGCAAAGAAACUGUAGUCUGGACUUCUCUGUACCUUCCUUCUGAAAACUGUUCAUCUCUAUGGGUUAUACAGCUGAGUUAAGUUUAAGUAAACAAAGACUUUGCCCAAAGGUAUUCUCCGUCCCAGCAAAUGAACUGAAAAUAUAAAACAUAUGGGGCAAUCUGAGUUUUAACAAUGGUUUAAAAAAAAAAGAAAAGCUUUUACUGUGUAUUUUAAAGAGUUUCAAGGACAGCAAAAAUCACUGGCGGGAUUUAGCUGUAUCCAGAGAACUGAUGCAAUCCAUACCAGUAGGGAAUUGCUUAACAUGUCUGGGCAGGGUUCCUGCUGGUGGCGUCUGCUGGACGUCUUUGCAGCGUAAUAGGCAAUAUGUGGGUGUGUUGGGGCCCCUGCUCCAGAUUCCUCUCUUUGAGCUUGUCAUUUCUGUUUCCCUUGUUUGCUGAUGGCCACCAGCUGGGUCCUGACUUUGGGGCUGGGCUGUCCCACCAAAUGAGCAUGCACAUUUGAGCCCAUGGUGCUUCAGAGCCCCAGAAAGUACAGGUAGAAAUGGUAGAGGCCUUUCUGAUAGCUUCAGUUGGUGUAUUUUGCUAUUAUUUGUAUUUCUUUGGGGCUGAGAGGCUACCAAAAGUGGAUUUAAGUCCCCUUGCACUGAGCUUCCCAGGCAAAAUAAUCAUGAGCAUUGAAAAUAAAAGUGCCUGUGUCAUACCCUCUACGGAGAGAAGCAGGAGGUGAAGACAGCAGAUGCCUUGAACACUGCCGCAAUGAUGGUCAUUGCGGUAAGCAAUGGUCCCAGGAAGCGUGUAAGGUUUUUUUAAAACCUUUUCAGCCCAAAUAAAUCACUGCAGCUUCCCUCUCACAGCUGACCAGAGACUUACUCAGUUUACACUCAGUUUAGGAUCCUCCCAAAGCGCUUACAGCCUGUUCUGAACUCCUCCGCAUGAAUAACCCCCGGCUCCUGCUAAGUGUCCCUACAGUCCGAAAAUAAUUCAUAUCUCUAUGCUUUCAAAGCUCACUGUUGCUGAGGGGAAGUCCCCGCUGUUUCCUCCUCAGCUUUCUCUUUCCUGCUCUCCCCCUUGCUGGUGAGGAUUAGGCUCGACCGCAGCUGACUUUGCUGUCUCACUGCCUGCAGCGGGGUGCCAAGCGUUAUACGGUGACGCAGCAGCUUUUCCCCCCAUUCCCUCCAUUUCCCCUGGCUGCCAUCGCUCUCUCAGAGUCCCAGGGCUGCAGUUUCUGCCCAGUGCAGGGAGGUGAUAAGGCUUUGAACUUUUGCUGGGGGUUGGCUUGCUGCGGUGGGUCUGAAGGGCGCAGCGAGGUGAAGGAGCAGGCGAGGGGCCAAGGGGCCAGCCGAAAGCUCCCAGGUGAACGAUGCCAGGCGCACCUUGUUUCCCUCCGAGUUUUGAGCCGGCAGUACGUCCUGCCAGGUCUGGCCCUGCGGCUGGGCUGGCUGCAGUCGUGUUGGGAAGCUUGAGCCUUUCUCUUCAUUUUCAUUUUUAUUUAUUUAACCAUUUUAAGCAGUUUUGUGGGAAUGGAGCUGUAAGAUUUUCUUUAAUUUUCAGAAGAGUGUGGACUUUCUUUUUCGGAGCUGAAUUCUUUGUUGUCAAAAUAUGUACAUAACCUUGAGAUCCCAAAAACCUGUUUUAGGAUCUGUGAAUGGGCUGCACGUGAUUCUCUUACACACUGUCACUUUAAAGCACUUCUCUUUCUUCCACUGGUUCUUAAUGAACCUCACCCAGAGUGGGGGGUGAACCAAUUCAGUGUUUACUAAUUUUCUGCAUUGGUAAAACAAUACAAAACCACCACCUUUUCUUUUUGUGUGUGGGAGGUAGGAAAUCAUUACGAAAAAGAUGAAAUGAUGUAUAUCUAUGUGUGCUUGUAUGCACACAUGCUUGUUUUGAUUCAGAAGUGGAAGUGAUGGCAACUAACGCUGACAAAAUGCAAGCAUAUUUUUUACUCCGGUCAGGCUUUUUCGUGAGCCUAAAGCACUGUCACAGGACUCUACUGGUUGUUGAUUUUCAAAAAUGCAGUGAAGCUAUGAUCCCAUUGAAAUUUCUAUGAAUUUUUAUGGAUACAAGUUAUUAAGACAGUGGAUAAAACCUGAAAGACCUAGCUUUUCUCUUGCCUAUUUGGAAUACGGUGGUUUAUUAUUAUUGUUGUCAUCCUUGUUGCCAGUCUGAGGUGCUGAUGCUGAAUUUCAAUAUUUUUGAAGACUCUCCUGGAAAACAAAAUAAAAAGAAUCCUGCAUUAGCGUGGACGACUCACAUUCCACUCUAAUUGGUACAUUAUAAUUUUCCCUCUUCUUACUUUCCUUCUGGUUUUCAAAAGUACUUUUUAGUUCCUCCAAAUCACUUCAUAAAUUUACAUUCUGGCUUAGCUGUUCUAUUUUUCUAUUUUAGAAAAGUCAAGUCAAGUCAAGUUGGCUUGGCAAAGCAAAUUAAUUUCCUUCAGAUGAGAGGGGUUUUGCUGAAGUCUUAGUCCUUCGAGAUACACAGUCCCCUAACUGCUGAGCUGCAUUUAUUGACACGGAUGCAAAGCUGUCUGGCUGGAGGAGUUGCUACUUGUAAAGGCAUAGGUUUCACACACGUGCCCACGCUCUGCCACAAUUGCUUUGGUCUUCCCUGGAUUAAGUUUUUAACUCGAGCUGCCCAUCUCAGCUGAACUUCAAAAAACUGCAGGAAAGCACAUCAUCUGUUACAGGGAGCAGGGGUGCAGAACCAAGUGAUACGAGAGCACCUGUGCAAUUCCAGCUGAUGCCAUUCCAGAGGCUGAAGAUAUCAGACUCAUUCUGUUUCAUUUUUUUUUUGUCUUAUAUUUAUACUGUAUCCCUCCCGGCAUCAGCAAAGAAGCUUGAGCUGGAGAUGGUCACACAGACGAGCUUGUCCUUUCUGUUUCACUGACUUCCAUCAUCUGUUCAAAAAAUUUUGUACGCUCUGAGCUGCUUAAAGACUUUUGACUUUACAGUUUUUUUCACUGAAAUCCUUGUACCUAUCUCUGAUUGGCUUGAGAAUUGUUAUGCAGACACAGAACCAGAUUGUGAAAGGUCUGUGAAUAAGUAUUUCAGCUGGUUAAUAUUCCCUGCCCGGUGCUGGACAGCAAAGUGUGUCUGUAUGUAUUUAAAUGCCAACCAUUCUAAGCACUGGUUCAAAGCUCAUAUUGCUAAUUGCAAAACCUCAUCAACUUUCUGUGUACCGGAACAGCCCCUCUACACAAAAAAAUAAAAAUCAAAGAGCAGACCAGGUUGAUGGUGUUCUCAGCCAUAUCUGUUUCUGUCAGUAUGCGUUGAGGGACCGAAGGAAAGAGGUGUGUGAAAUUGUUCCCAGGCCGUCCUUGGCUGUGUUUCCCUGCUGCUCCGCCCCACUCUCCCCUUUGGCUGUGCUCAGAAGAUGAACUCUUGUGCAGAAAUGGGGAAAAUCUCAGAGAGAGUGCAUGACCCUCAAAACAGUAGCUUGUCCUUUAUAGAAGAAAGAACUUCCAGCAAGUAGUGAUUUACGUAUCUUUAAGGGAAAGGAAAACUACUUGCAAAUGCAUUAUUUUAUCUGCAAUGGAAUUUCAAGUUACUAAUGCAUGGAUAGAGGCAUCAAGUGAAUCUUUUCACCUGGGCUUUUGGAAAAUGCUACCCAAGAAAAAAUUAGUUGUGUAAAAACUUCCGUCAUGCUUAACUCUGCAAGCAGAGUGACUGCGUAAUUAGCCACACUAGCUGGGGAGGAUGCCACAUUAGAUCAGGUGAGAGAAGCAGAGUUAAAAUAGCACAAAAAUAAGAACCGCGGGGCAGAACUAAUGCUAGGAACUGCCAUCUGCACACGCAAAGGAACAUCUGUUGCAUUUUAAAUUCAAGUCAUAGCGGGCUUCAGAACCUUUGCUGUUUUGGAAGAGACAAAAAUCUCUAAACACAUGCUGAGACAAGGAAGAAGGUGGAACAUUUCUGAAAUACUGAAAACCUGUGUGUGUCGUAUUCCAUCUCUUUUUGGUCAUGAACCUUUGUUCCUAGGUUGGGCGUUUGGCCCACCUCAAGUCCCUCAAUAGGCAGUGGAGAGAGAGGGACUCCUGCUUGGCAUCUCCAAAAGUGGUAAAGCAACCCUGCUUGUUCAUAAAAUCCCUGAGAGCAAUGCAGUGGGCCCUACUGAAAAUUUUAACACAGAAGAUGCUGAAAGAAGUGGGAUAUGGCACAUAUGCCAAAACUGGUCCUAUUUUUCUAUUUCAUAUUUUCAAAAAAGGUCAAAAAAGAUUCAGUUUUAGCCAAGACACUAAGAAAAAAAAUGAAAUGAAUGUAUCUGUUCUUACAGUGUGUUUCACAACACAGGAAACUGUCAAUAAAAGCAAUAAAUGGA